UUACUGGCUCAGGAUGAACGCUGGCGGCGUGCCUAACACAUGCAAGUCGAACGGAGUUACGAGAGCUUGCUUUGUAACUUAGUGGCGGACGGGUGAGUAAUGUAUGAGCAACCUGCCUUUCAGAGGGGGACAACAGUUGGAAACGACUGCUAAUACCGCAUAAUGUACCGUGGGGGCAUCCCCGUGGUACCAAAGGAGCAAUCCGCUGAAAGAUGGGCUCAUAUCUGAUUAGCUAGUUGGUGGGGUAACGGCUCACCAAGGCUGCGAUCAGUAGCCGGACUGAGAGGUUGAACGGCCACAUUGGGACUGAGAUACGGCCCAGACUCCUACGGGAGGCAGCAGUGGGGAAUAUUGGGCAAUGGGCGAAAGCCUGAACCCCAGCAACGCCGCGUGAAGGAAGAAGGUCCUCGGAUUGUAAACUUCUUUUAUGAGGGACGAAGGACGUGACGGUACCUCAUGAAUAAGCCACGGCUAACUACGUGCCAGCAGCCGC
rnacentral:rRNA from 1 species